rnacentral:rRNA from 1 species
CUCGUAGGCGGUUCGUCGCGUCCGGUGUGAAAGUCCAUCGCCUAACGGUGGAUCUGCGCCGGGUACGGGCGGGCGUGGAGUGCGGGUAGGGGGAGACUGGAAUUCCCGGUGUAACGGUGGAAUGUGUAGAUAUCGGGAAGAACACCAAUGGCGAAGGCAGGUCUCUGGGCCGUUACUGACGCUGAGGAGCGAAAGCGUGGGGAGCGAACAA